rnacentral:lncRNA from 1 species
CAGCGCUGAAGCGUUCUGCAAAUGAUAACUUGCAGAGGUUAUGUCAGCAUACGAAAUUUCCCGUGAAAGAUGUGUUGCGCCUUCAGCAGUGGUUAAAAGAAAUGAAGAGGAAGGACUGGAAGCCAAACCGAAAUAGCACAUUGUGUUCGGCUCAUUUUACAAAUGACUGCUUUGAUAGGACAGGAUUCCUAAUUACAUUGAAAAAGAACAGUGUACCAACUAUAUUUGACAACCCAAAAUCAGAGUGUUCAUCUUGUCACCGAUUAAGGGAAUAUGGACGUGGCUAUUCAUUCUUCAAGUUCCCAUUGGAUGAACCUGAUAUUAUGAAGCAGUGGAUCGCAAAUAUAAACAUUGGUCCGUGGUCUCCAUCAAGUGAUAGCUUUCUGUGUUCCGACCACUUUGAACUCUCUUGCUUUCAGAAGAAAAGUAAAAAUUAUAUAACUUUACGAAAAGGCAGUAUCCCAACAUUAUUUGGUAAGAUC